rnacentral:tRNA from 1 species
GUAGUAAAGAGGAUAUUACAAGCCCCUCCUAAGGGUUAGUCAUCGGUUCGAUUCCGGUCGGGGGUGCCA